rnacentral:rRNA from 1 species
GAUGAACGCUGGCGGCGUGCCUAAUACAUGCAAGUCGAGCGAACGGACGAGAAGCUAGCUUUUCUGAUGUUAGCGGCGGACGGGUGAGUAACACGUGGAUAACCUACCUAUAAGACUGGGAUAACUUCGGGAAACCGGAGCUAAUACCGGAUAAUAUUUUGAACCGCAUGGUUCAAAAGUGAAAGACGGUCUUGCUGUCACUUAUAGAUGGAUCCGCGCUGCAUUAGCAAGUUGGUAAGGUAACGGCUUACCAAGGCAACGAUGCAUAGCCGACCUGAGAGGGUGAUCGGCCACACUGGAACUGAGACACGGUCCAGACUCCUACGGGAGGCAGCAGUAGGGAAUCUUCCGCAAUGGGCGAAAGCCUGACGGAGCAACGCCGCGUGAGUGAUGAAGGUCUUCGGAUCGUAAAACUCUGUUAUUAGGGAAGAACAUAUGUGUAAGUAACUGUGCACAUCUUGACGGUACCUAAUCAGAAAGCCACGGCUAACUACGUG